UACAGAGGUCUCAAGCGUUGUUCGGAUUCAUUGGGCGUAAAGGGUGCGUAGGCGGCGCGGUAAGUCGGGGUGUGAAAUCUCGGGGCUUAACUCCGAAACUGCAUUCGAUACUGGCGUGCUUGAGGACUGGAGAGGAGACUGGAAUUCAUGGUGUAGCAGUGAAAUGCGUAGAGAUCAUGAGGAACACCGGUGGCGAAGGCGGGACUCUGGGCCGAUACUGACGCUGAGGAGCGAAAGCGUGGGGAGCAAACAGG
rnacentral:rRNA from 1 species